GACGGAGGAUGCAAGCGUUAUCCGGAAUGAUUGGGCGUAAAGCGUCCGCAGGUGGCAGUUCAAGUCUGCUGUCAAAGACCGGGGCUUAACUUCGGAAAGGCAGUGGAAACUGAACAGCUAGAGUAUGGUAGGGGCAGAGGGAAUUCCUGGUGUAGCGGUGAAAUGCGUAGAGAUCAGGAGGAACACCAGUGGCGAAGGCGGCACCCUGGACCAGCACUGACACUGAGGCACGAAAGCCGUGGGGAGCAAACAGGA
rnacentral:rRNA from 1 species